rnacentral:lncRNA from 1 species
GGCGCUGAAUGGAUUAGGGAGGCAGCCCAGCCCAGACACCUGUGUGAUCGCAGUUUCUCUGUAGCCCACUAGGAGUCGCCACCUCAAGCAGACAACUCACUGGUGAGGAUUUUGUGACAAUAUCCAGUCUUUUCUGGAUCAUUUAUUGAGAUUCCUGGAUGAAUACACAUAAGUGUCCUAGACAAGAAUGAAAAGCUGACAUCUGAUCUGUGUGGGAAAAGGGGGAAACAUCACGAGAGUCCAUCUUCUGGGAGAAAACUCAAGAGGCCUCAAGAUGCUUUGUCUUGUAUACCUGGUCAAUUUUGAGGGCAGAGAUCAGCAUGGGGGACAGCCCCAGAGGUAGC